rnacentral:lncRNA from 1 species
CAAACAGGCAAAGCUGUGGACACCUUGGGUCCUGGUAGCACCUGUUAGGAGUUUGGCUAGCUGAUCUGAAGAGUCCGCAGAACAGAGCCUGUGGUCAAGGACAGCAGGUUGACUGAGGAGGAAAAUAAAGAGCAUAAGGAGACUGGAGAAGAAGGUAAAAGCCUGCAUCUUCAUAUCUGCUUCAUGUGUUGAAGUUUUA